GUUAAGACGGAGUUAGUUUUCAGUUUUUACAUUUCCUGCCGGUGUUUGAAUUCAAGUAUUUGCCUGAAAUUUGUAAAACCACAUUUUGACAAGUAUUGUGGGAUACAAAAACAUUAUUAGCUAUGCGGCUGCUGUCAUGCUGGAGCACCACCGUACUUUUGCGCCGUUACAAAUGGUUAUCCUUUGGCUGAUUUCUUCAAGCUGGGAGUCUCACAUCACCACUCUCGUGUGUGCCUUUGUUGCAGCUUUUGGCUUAUUUGCUGUGGGAGAGAGAAUGGAACAAGCAGAGCAAGAGAACACAAGAAAACGGAAGAGAUCACAGGUAUGUGACGAAAAAUUCCCGGACAGUGGACAUGAGUUAGAAGAAGAACAGUAAAAAACCAGUGAAGAACGAAUGUAUAGUACGUGUGUUUAUUUGGUAAAAAAAAAACAAAAAAUGAUCGCCCAGAAAUACAACAAUAUCUGUUUCGACACACGACUUCACAUCAGGAAUCUUGCAACACAAAUUGAUAAACGUAAUUUAGAGUUUAUUUUUUGCUUAAAUAAGGAGUGUUUGAUUACAAGCAUACACAUAUACAAACACCCCCCCCCCACACACACAUAUAUAAUCAUACAUCAGCACAUAUAUAGAGAGAAAUGUGGCACCUUGGGCAAGUGUCCUCUACUGUAGCCCCGCGCCGUCUAAAGCCUUGUGAGUAGAUUUGGCAGACGGAGACUUAAAGUAUAUGCACCCUCUAAAGAAUUCAUCACUUCGUUAUCGAACACUAUAUCGAGAUCGAUCAGUCUGAAAUAGAACACGCUUCCCUUCUCCAUCAGUUAUUCAUGAAACGUUAUUAGCAAUCAUCCCCAGAAUAUUUUU